UCGGGAAUUUUGUGCAAUGGGCGAAAGCCUGACACAGCAACGCCGCGUGAAGGAUGAAGUCCCUCGGGAUGUAAACUUCGUAAGAAUAGGAAGAAUAAAUGACGGUACUAUUUGUAAGGUCCGGCUAACUACGUGCCAGCAGCCGCGGUAAUACGUAGGGACCAAGCGUUGUUCGGAUUUACUGGGCGUAAAGGGUGCGUAGGCGGCAUAUCAAGUCACUUGUGAAAUCUCCGGGCUUAACUCGGAACUGCCAAGUGAUACUGAUGUGCUAGAGUGCAGAAAGGGCAACUGGAAUUCUUGGUGUAGCGGUGAAAUGCGUAGAUAUCAAGAGGAACACCUGAGGUGAAGACGGGUUGCUGGGCUGACACUGACGCUGAGGCGCGAAAGCCAGGGGAGCAAACGGGAUUAGAUACCCCCGUAGUCCCUGAGCGGGCUGGCAAGGCGCAU
rnacentral:rRNA from 1 species